rnacentral:rRNA from 1 species
AUUGAACGCUGGCGGCAUGCCUUACACAUGCAAGUCGACCGGUAACGGGCCUUCGGGUGCCGACGAGUGGCGAGCGGGUGCGUAAUACAUCGGAACGUGCCCGAUCGUGGGGGAUAACGAGGCGAAAGCUUUGCUAAUACCGCAUACGAUCUACGGAUGAAAGCAGGGGACCGCAAGGCCUUGCGCGGACGGAGCGGCCGAUGGCAGAUUAGGUAGUUGGUGGGAUAAAAGCUUACCAAGCCGACGAUCUGUAGCUGGUCUGAGAGGAUGAUCAGCCACACUGGGACUGAGACACGGCCCAGACUCCUACGGGAGGCAGCAGUGGGGAAUUUUGGACAAUGGGCGCAAGCCUGAUCCAGCCAUGCCGCGUGCAGGAUGAAGGCCUUCGGGUUGUAAACUGCUUUUGUACGGAACGAAAAGCCUUCUUUUAAUACAGGAGGGUCAUGACGGUACCGUAAGAAUAAGCACCGGCUAACUACGUG